rnacentral:lncRNA from 1 species
AAAUAAACUCCUUUUCCUUUCUUCCCCUCCCGUCAUUUGUUUCCUUGUGAGUGCGCACUGCACCUCCCGUUCUCGUUCUAAUAUCAAGCAAAAUGCCACAGCGCCGAGACUCACAUUUGCGAAUAAACCUGCGGACCAUAAUUCAAGUCGCGCGUAACGUCGAAAGAAUCAUCUGCAAAAAAAUGGGUGCAACACGAGGACUUCCCAAGAAAAUGGGUGAAAUAUAAGCACUUCGCAGGAGCUCACCCAACCUAGUACUACUCUCGCCCAAGCACCC